rnacentral:rRNA from 2 species
AUGAAAUGACUCUCGGCAACGGAUAUCUCGGCUCUUGCAUCGAUGAAGAACGUAGCGAAAUGCGAUACUUGGUGUGAAUUGCAGAAUCCCGUGAACCAUCGAGUCUUUGAACGCAAGUUGCGCCCGAAACCAUUAGGUUGAGGGCACGCCUGCCUGGGUGUCACAU